UACAGAGGUCCCGAGCGUUGUUCGGAUUCAUUGGGCGUAAAGGGUGCGUAGGUGGCGCCGUAAGUGGGGUGUGAAAUCCCGGGGCUUAACCCCGGGACUGCAUUCCAUACUGCGGUGCUUGAGGACUGGAGAGGAGACUGGAAUUUACGGUGUAGCAGUGAAAUGCGUAGAGAUCGUAAGGAAGACCAGUGGCGAAGGCGGGUCUCUGGACAGUUCCUGACACUGAGGCACGAAUGCCAGGGGAGCAAACGGG
rnacentral:rRNA from 1 species